rnacentral:tRNA from 1 species
AGAUGGCCGAGUUGGUUAUGGCGCCAGGUUAAGGCUAUACCUUAACACAGCACUGAUUCCUGGUGGGGCAACCCGCGUGGGUUCGAAUCCCACUCU